UACGUAGGGUGCAAGCGUUGUCCGGAAUUAUUGGGCGUAAAGAGCUCGUAGGCGGUCUGUUGCGUCGGCUGUGAAAACCCGGGGCUCAACCCCGGGCCUGCAGUCGAUACGGGCAGACUAGAGUGUGGUAGGGGAGACUGGAAUUCCUGGUGUAGCGGUGAAAUGCGCAGAUAUCAGGAGGAACACCGGUGGCGAAGGCGGGUCUCUGGGCCAUAACUGACGCUGAGGAGCGAAAGCGUGGGGAGCGAACAGG
rnacentral:rRNA from 1 species